AUUUUUCUUUUCUUGUUAUUAGUUCAAUAUUUUUUGUUUUCUUUUUUUACAAAUUCGAACAAUAGGUUAAUUUAAUAAUUUAAUUUGUAAUGAUUUUGUUGAAGAAACAAACAAGUUUUUAGUAAUGGAUGUCAAUGUUUUUGAAGAGAUUCCAUGUAAUAUGCAAGUAGAAGUGG